rnacentral:misc_RNA from 1 species
AAGUUUUUAAAUUAUUUUCUGUUUUUUUUUUCUUCUAAUUUUAUUGCCAAGAUAACAAAAGUUUGAAUAAGGGAACAUUUUUUCCAAAGUUUCAGUACUUUUUUUAUCAUUAAUAUUUCCAAACAGAAUAUUUAAACUAUCCUAAUUUUAUGUAUGAUUCAUGUUACUUAUCUCUUUCAAUUCUCAGGAAGAGAAGUAUUAAUAUAUCUGUUUCCAAACCAAUUUUUCAUGUUUUGUCAUAAAUAUCAGACUCGAUAAUAACUGACAUCCAGUGUGUAGCUUUGUCAAAACGUGUUUGUAAGAAAAGAUAUACAAUCACAGGAUUGUUUUCAUCAGUAUAAGGAAAAGCCUUAUAAAAAAAAUUAUGAAGUUAGUGAUUUAAAAAAUUGCUCUCUGAUCUUCCUCAGAUACAUUUCUAUGUUCUGUGUGUACUGUUAACUUUAUAUUUGCUCUUAACAUAAGUGUAUAGAAAGUGCUAAAAUUAUGUUCACUGUUUCAUUAUUUUAUGUGCUUCUCUUUGUUAAUCAUACUUUGGUGUACUGGGCCCUUUUUGUGACCCAUACCAUCCCACCAGCACUGACAGUCAUGUAUGACCCAUGGGGAGGAGAGGGGGAUCAUAAUGGUUGCCCGAGGGGGCCUGUGUGCCAUGUCACAAAGGAGAAGCCUUGCUUUUAAACUUCAGCAAGAUGAAUGUCAAUACUGACAAAAGUCAGCAAACCCAGCCUUCGAGAAGUACACGUAAAGAACACCACAAUGUUGAAAUGGACAGAGUUUGGCGGCCUAUCUUUGAAAAGUAUGAUUCAGAUCACGAUGGGUGGAUACCGCUGGAUGAACUGAAAGUACUUCUUCAGUCUGACGCGUCCGAGAUCAGUAAUGAUUUUCCAGAAGGGGUUCUCGAUGAGAUUCUUGAAAGAGCUGAUUGGGAUAAUGAUCGAAUGCUAAGUUAUGAGGAGUUUCUCCGAAUGGUUCAUGCUAUGGAAUUGGGUUUGGCUAGACCAAAGUUCCAGAGGCUUGUUAGAAUUGUGGCGAUGACCGUAGUUCCAAAGUCAGAACGAGCCACCACAGUGAGAAAAUACUUGGAGCAGUAUAGCUGUAUGCCUCCUCCACUGUUCAUGAUUAUAGCCAGUCUAGGAGAGUUCCCUCAUCUACAACCCUUAUCGUCGCAAAGAGGCCUGGAGGUUCAUCACUUACAUGCUUAUUCAUGCUGGGGCUGUUCACAUCUUUUUCAACAUCAUGAUUCAGUUGUUGCUGGGGAUUCCUCUGGAGAUGGUGCACAAGUGGUGGAGAGUGGGACUUCUGUAUUUCGCUGGUGGACUAGCGGGUGCGUAAUAUAACUUAAUACCUGUCACAUUUUACUGGUGCACAAGUGGUGGAGAGUGGGACUUCUGUAUUUCGCUGGUGGACUAGCGGGAUCUUUGACUUCAUCACUAUUUGAUCCUAAUACAUAUCUGGCUGGAGCUUCUGGUGGCGUGUAUGCCCUCAUAGCUGCACAUCUGGCUAAUGUCAUCAUAGUAAGUUUCAA